AAAAACUCCCUCAGUACGGUCUCCACAUGAGGUUCACAACUUAAAUAAGCCCAGAGAACACACACUAAGAAAUUGUAUCCAACGUUACUUAAUAAUCGGCUCAUGUCAGUGUAACUUAGAGAUUUUAUUUUGACGACGUUUGUUAACAAUUAUUGUAUGUUAAUCAAGAAAUGUCAACAGCGAACUGGUGGUUUUCAGCUGUCAGUCAUGUUAGCAUACUCACAGACAGCUGCGGAACACCAGAACAACUACAUUUGAAAGCGAGCUUACCUGGACUCUUCAGGUUAUAUUUAUUCUCCAUACUGACAGACGUUGAUCACUCUGGUGACGAAGUGUUGUUAAAUUCUUGUUGCUAACUCGCUAGCUAGCUUCAAGCUACCUAUUAAACGUUAGCUUCACGUAGCAGCCCGGCUAGCUUAACGUUACUUCGGUCCUAAAGUAAGUUAUGAGCAGGACAGCUGAAACCGUAGGUCGUCCAGUAUACCCGGAGAUUCGGAAGUGACUGUUCUUCCUCUGGGGAUAUCUGAGGCAGCGCAGGCGCAUUACCGCAAGAAACUUCAAUCGGGAUAACUUGACACGUCAGUUCAUCUAUGGAUGCAAAGAGACAUGACAUCUCCCAGGAUGUUUUUAAACCGCUUCACCAUGAGACACCGAUGACACCUUUCUGCACUACUGUCAACGACACCAGAUUUAAAGCACUCAUGAUUUCUCUCAGUUGGUCUAUUUUCCUCUUCCUGCCACCAAAUGUUCAAAGGUACACAAAGUUUUUGAAGAAACUCGGCAGGCAGGUUGGCCCAAACACCUUGGAGAACUCCCCACAGUUCCUCUGUGGAUGGAGGCAGCCUCACAGAGUCAUGGUGUUGGGUUCUACUUACUCGUGUUCCUUUGGGCCAGAACACUGGCAGGUAGCAGUGCUGACAACAGAUACAAGCGCUGGGCACAACAAGGUAUUCAACUGAGUAUCUCUGCAUCAAACAGUACAUUGUGAGGCCUGUGUCAGAGAGGGGUGGGUUCAACUCUGUACCCAGUUAGUGGAUUUUUACUGCAUUAGCCUGUGUGCUGUUACUGACAAAAUACGUUACAGCAGAAUGUAAUGUGACACAAUAAAAAACAAUAACAGUAUACAGUAAUAAUAAUAAUUAUAAUAAUAAUAAAU